rnacentral:rRNA from 1 species
GUGAAGCGGCAACAGCUCAAAUUUGAAAUCUGGCCGCAAGGUCCGAGUUGUAAUUUGCAGAGGAUGCUUUUGGCGAGGUGCCUUCCGAGUUCCCUGGAACGGGACGCCAUAGAGGGUGAGAGCCCCGUACGGUAGGACCACCGAGCCUUUGUAAAGCUCCUUCGACGAGUCGAGUAGUUUGGGAAUGCUGCUCUAAAUGGGAGGUGUACGUCUUCUAAAGCUAAAUACCGGCCAGAGACCGAUAGCGCACAAGUAGAGUGAUCGAAAGAUGAAAAGCACUUUGAAAAGAGGGUUAAAAAGUACGUGAAAUUGUUGAAAGGGAAGCAUUCAUGACCAGACUUGGGCUUGGUUGAACAUCCGGCGUUCUCGCCGGUGCACUCUGCCAGUCCAGGCCAGCAUCAGUUUGCCCCGGGGGAUAAAGGCGGUGGGAAUGUGGCUCUCUCCGGGGAGUGUUAUAGCCCGCCGUGUAAUGCCCUGGGGCGGACUGAGGAACGCGC